GACGACGACUCCUACGGGAGGCAGCAGUGGGGAAUAUUGCACAAUGGGGGAAACCCUGAUGCAGCCAUGCCGCGUGUGUGAAGAAGGCCUUCGGGUUGUAAAGCACUUUCAGUAGGGAGGAAGGUAGUCGUAGUUAACACCUGCAUUAUUUGACGUUACCUACAGAAGAAGCACCGGCUAACUCCCGUGCCAGCAGCCGCGGUAAUACGGAGGGUGCGAGCGUUAAUCGGAAUUACUGGGCGUAAAGCGCAUGCAGGCGGCCUGUUAAGUCAGAUGUGAAAGCCCGGGGCUUAACCUCGGAAUUGCAUUUGAAACUGGCAGGCUAGAGUCUUGUAGAGGGGGUAGAAUUUCAGGUGUAGCGGUGAAAUGCGUAGAGAUCUGAAGGAAUACCAGUGGCGAAGGCGGCCCCCUGGACAAAGACUGACGCUCAGAUGCGAAAGCGUGGGGAGCAAACAGGAUUAGAUACCCUGGUAG
rnacentral:rRNA from 1 species